ACGGGUGCGUAACGCGUGGGAAUCUGCCCCUUGGUUCGGAAUAACAGCGAGAAAUUGCUGCUAAUACCGGAUGAUGACUUCGGUCCAAAGAUUUAUCGCCAAGGGAUGAGCCCGCGUAAGAUUGGGUAGUUGGUGGGGUAAUGGCCUACCAAGCCGACGAUCUUUAGCUGGUCUGAGAGGAUGAUCAGCCACACUGGGACUGAGACACGGCCCAGACUCCUACGGGAGGCAGCAGUGGGGAAUAUUGGACAAUGGGCGAAAGCCUGAUCCAGCAAUGCCGCGUGAGUGAUGAAGGCCUUAGGGUUGUAAAGCUCUUUUACCAGGGAUGAUAAUGACAGUACCUGGAGAAUAAGCUCCGGCUAACUCCGUGCCAGCAGCCGCGGUAAUACGGAGGGAGCUAGCGUUGUUCGGAAUUACUGGGCGUAAAGCGCACGUAGGCGGCUACUCAAGUCAGAGGUGAAAGCCCGGGGCUCAACCCCGGAACUGCCUUUGAAACUAGGUAGCUAGAAUCUUGGAGAGGUCAGUGGAAUUCCGAGUGUAGAGGUGAAAUUCGUAGA
rnacentral:rRNA from 1 species